UUGAACGCUGGCGGCAGGCCUAACACAUGCAAGUCGAGCGGUAGCACAGAGAGCUUGCUCUCGGGUGACGAGCGGCGGACGGGUGAGUAAUGUCUGGGAAACUGCCUGAUGGAGGGGGAUAACUACUGGAAACGGUAGCUAAUACCGCAUAAUGUCGCAAGACCAAAGUGGGGGACCUUCGGGCCUCAUGCCAUCAGAUGUGCCCAGAUGGGAUUAGCUAGUAGGUGGGGUAACGGCUCACCUAGGCGACGAUCCCUAGCUGGUCUGAGAGGAUGACCAGCCACACUGGAACUGAGACACGGUCCAGACUCCUACGGGAGGCAGCAGUGGGGAAUAUUGCACAAUGGGCGCAAGCCUGAUGCAGCCAUGCCGCGUGUGUGAAGAAGGCCUUCGGGUUGUAAAGCACUUUCAGCGGGGAGGAAGGCGUUAAGGUUAAUAACCUUGGCGAUUGACGUUACCCGCAGAAGAAGCACCGGCUAACUCCGUGCCAGCAGCCGCGGUAAUACGGAGGGUGCAAGCGUUAAUCGGAAUUACUGGGCGUAAAGCGCACGCAGGCGGUCUGUCAAGUCGGAUGUGAAAUCCCCGGGCUCAACCUGGGAACUGCAUUCGAAACUGGCAGGCUAGAGUCUUGUAGAGGGGGGUAGAAUUCCAGGUGUAGCGGUGAAAUGCGUAGAGAUCUGGAGGAAUACCGGUGGCGAAGGCGACCCCCUGGACAAAGACUGACGCUCAGGUGCGAAAGCGUGGGGAGCAAACAGGAUUAGAUACCCUGGUAGUCCACGCCGUAAACGAUGUCGAUUUGGAGGUUGUGCCCUUGAGGCGUGGCUUCCGGAGCUAACGCGUUAAAUCGACCGCCUGGGGAGUACGGCCGCAAGGUUAAAACUCAAAUGAAUUGACGGGGGCCCGCACAAGCGGUGGAGCAUGUGGUUUAAUUCGAUGCAACGCGAAGAACCUUACCUGGUCUUGACAUCCACAGAACUUUCCAGAGAUGGAUUGGUGCCUUCGGGAACUGUGAGACAGGUGCUGCAUGGCUGUCGUCAGCUCGUGUUGUGAAAUGUUGGGUUAAGUCCCGCAACGAGCGCAACCCUUAUCCUUUGUUGCCAGCGGUUCGGCCGGGAACUCAAAGGAGACUGCCAGUGAUAAACUGGAGGAAGGUGGGGAUGACGUCAAGUCAUCAUGGCCCUUACGACCAGGGCUACACACGUGCUACAAUGGCAUAUACAAAGAGAAGCGACCUCGCGAGAGCAAGCGGACCUCAUAAAGUAUGUCGUAGUCCGGAUUGGAGUCUGCAACUCGACUCCAUGAAGUCGGAAUCGCUAGUAAUCGUAGAUCAGAAUGCUACGGUGAAUACGUUCCCGGGCCUUGUACACACCGCCCGUCACACCAUGGGAGUGGGUUGCAAAAGAAGUAGGUAGCUUAACCUUCGGGAGGGCGCUUACCACUUUGUGAUUCAUGACUGGGGUG
rnacentral:rRNA from 1 species